UUAGUUGUCCCCUUUGAGCUUAAUCCUUUUUAUUGGCAACCACAUUACAAGCCUUAUCCUUUUUGAAAAGGUAACCCUCUUUUGAACCCUUCCCUCCUUGAACUUGAGGUUGUGAAAGUUGAGGCUAAAAGCCUAAGUUGGGGGUGUUAUGGGAAAUUUAUUGAAGGGGUGUUUACUAAUGAAGGCAUGAUAUAAAAAAAAUAAAAAAGAAGAAGAAUGAAAUUGAGGGAUGGAUGGAAAAAGAAAGAAAGAAAAUGAAUAAAUGAGUCUUGAAUCCUCCAAAAGUUGAAAAUGGCUGCAUGUGGAGCAUCUAAAGUGGAAAUAAAAAAAGAAAAAUGAAAAAUAGUGUGGAAUGUGCAUGGGUUUGAAAAAUGGAGAAUGUUGGAAAUGAUGAGUUGUUGUGUAGUGUUCAAGGAGGGUGUAGUCACUUAUACCUAAAUUAUAUCCUAACCUUCCCUAAGCCUAUAUUACAAGCUUAACAAAGUCCUUUGAGAUUUCUAACCAAAUGGAGUUUAGUCAAUGUUGAUUGAAAAUAUGGGCAAGCCUAUGGUGUGACAUUUGUGUGCAUGAGAUAAUUCUUUGUGAGUGUGAGUGUUGCAUCUUUGUCCCUUGUCUUGUUUAUGCAUGUUUGGUUUCGGGACACUUCUUUCUUCUGAGGGCAUGUAAGUUUAAAAAGUGGUGAUUUUGAAGAUUCCUAAUUAAGUCAAGUGAGCAUGUGAAAGAGUUAAUGAGUUGAGUCAUUUCUUGAGUUUGGGUUGUUGCCACUUAAAUGAUUCUUGAUUUUUGAAAAUGUUUCAUGAGAAUGAGAGGAUUCUUUUAUGAAAAAUUUGCAUGUGGACUAAUUGUUAUUACCAACCAAAGCCAUUACCUUUGUGCUUAAUUGAGAAUGGGAAAUUGAUUUGUGGUGUAUCUUGAAAUACGAGUCUCUUGUGUUUUAGAUUUUCUUGACCUGAGGAAAAACAAAGUUUCUAAGUUGGGGGGGUUGAUGAGUGGUUGAUUUCCACUCAUUUGAGGCUCUUUUGGUUGUUAUUUUGUCUUUUAGUUUAUAAUUGGUGCUUUUAAUGUUUUUUUUUCAUAUUUGCACGUAAAUGAAAUGGAGGUUCUUAGAAAAUGUUGAAGGUGCAGGGUUAGCACCAUUCAAUUAUUAGCUUUGUUUUAGAGGAAUCAAAACAAUGGCAGAAAAUGCUUCCACCGUCUUCAAUGUUCACGUGCCGGAGUUUGUGGAUGCUAUUUGGGUUGCUCUGAGGGAUCCAACGUUGGCUGUUCGGGAGAAGGCUGUUGAGACAUUGUGUGCCUGCGUUCGUGUUAUUGAAAAGUGUGAGACAAGAUGGUGUGUUCAGUGGUAUGUCUAUUUCUCUCUCCUCCCUUAUAGUUUUUUAGAAAAUGUCAUUAACAUUUUAACAAUAUGUAAAAGAAUGUAUCAAUCACAAAUUUCUUGAUCCAAGGCAUCUACUCUUAAAUUGGUGAUUCGACAGGUAUUAUUGAAUGGUUAAGCCUACCCAAGAUGGAUCGGGUUGAAACGCUCAUGUUCAUAGUAUACAUUGAUCUUUUCUCGCAGUUGGGGAGCUGCUAAGGUUUGUUAUCAAAUUGCAUCACAUUAUUUAUUUCAUUGUAGGAAAAUAUUUCAGAGUCUCUUGUGUUGUGUUAAAUUGUUGUGAUCUGCUGAAUGUCUGAGGAACUGGAUACUUAUCUCCUGUUUUACUAGUGAUUUUGAAGUUGAAACUUGAAUAUUUGAAGUUGUGAUUUUCGGACAUGCAUUUUACUUGGAAAAGAAUUGAAGUUUUGUAAAUAGAAGUCCCUAAAAUGCAGAACUUUGAUUUUUUUGGAGGUAAAUGCUAGCUUAAAAUCUCUAGUUAUAUUGUGAGGACUUAAGUACCUCAAGGUUGACGACAUUACAUAUGUGUUUGGGUGCGAAUGCCUACUACCUAUUUGUUUUCUUUUAUAAAGUAAUUAUUAAUGAGGGUAAGAACUCCUGGAUGCAAACCAUAUACCAAAAGGUGUCUACUACCUACUUGCUCUUAUUAGCAAUUGUAUCUAGAAGGCAUUUGUGAUCUAUAGAUUGAUUAAUGAUCUAUGGGGCAAUCUGGGUGUUUCAGUCAUUUAUAGAAACCUAUUUGAGUAUGGUGAGCCGUGGAUAUAAUGCCUUCAGAAUAGGCGCGAGUGAGUGUGAGUCAGUGUUCUUCAUUUCAGUAUUAUGAAAGGCCAUAAACUUGUCCACCAUGAGUAGUUUCAAAAUUCUACUUAUCAGAAAAAAAAGAAGGGCCAAGUCUAAAGAAUUUAUAGAACUUCAAAGUAACCGGAGUGUCUUUUACCUUUAGAGUUUGUGUUACUUCUUAGCUAUUGUUACUGUUAAUCUUGAAAGAUCCCGAAUACAAUAUUUAGCAUGAGAUAUUGGAUGUAGGUCCUGAAUGGUUAAGUAGGCGAUUUAACAAAGAAUAUGUUAUCUCAUUAUCUUUAUAUUUUGUUGAAAAACCUUUCGCGUCUAUACUGGUGAACGGAUAAAUUGCAUUUAUAAAAGGAGUGCAAGUAUAAUUGGAGGGUAUAAUUGAUUUUUAACCAAAAAGAAGAAGUGAGGAAUGUAGACUUUAUUCUGACAAAUCUUUACGUUGGGUAACUUGUACUCUAUAUCUAGAGCAUGACCAGAUGCAGAUUUAACCAAAUGAGUAGUUUUUUGAAAAUACUUUGUAGGCACUAAACCUUCAUGAAUACAGCUAACAUCUGCAACGCUAUCAAUCAUGGCAAUGUUAGUAAUCGAAAAACUGUUAUAAAUUAAAAUAGUACAUUUAAUAUACCAUUUAUGAGCCGUGACAAUUUGCAUCAUUCCUAAAAACAUAUCUUGUUUAGGAUCAGGAUUAACAGGUUGAUCUUCACCUUCAGCUUGUUUUCCUUUGUUUUUUGAAAACCGAUCUUCGAUUCUGAGUAAUACGGUGAUCACAAAUCAAUUGAUUUUGUUUGAGAGAUUUAAUUUCCCUUUUCAGAUUCUCGACUUCAAUUUUUAAAUCAUCGAAAGAAGAAUCUUUUUCAGAAAAAGAAUUUCUUUUUAAAAGACGAUCAUCAACUUCUUUUAAAGAAUAAGGAGCAGAAUAUUCAAAAUCAUCAUUUUUCUUAUUUUCAAAAGGUUUUGAAGAACUUGAACUGGCUUCAUUAGUAACCAAAUUAAUAAUUUUUUCACGAAGCUUACUAUUAGUAAUUUCCUUCAGAAGUUCAAUCACAUUAUCAGAAGUAAUUGUAUUCACAUUUAAAUCUUGAAAUAUGCGACGGUAGCACACAGAUUCCUCUAUCUGUGUUUUUAACACUUUUGCAGAUAAUCGAACAUAGAUUUGGUUGAAACUUUGAAUAGAAGUUUUUGAAGUUGGAGUUGUAUUGGACAUGUAUCGCACUUGCAAAAAGUUGAAGUUCAAUGAGUUGAAAAAAUAUUCACUGAUGUCAAACUUGAAAAACUCAUCUUCAAAAAGUAACCAAAAAAUCAUUCCAAUGCAUAACCAAACAAUGUUUUGAAAAUAAAUUUUGGGAAAAGGUAAAAACUUUCAAAGUGAAAAAGAUUCUAGGAUAGUUGUUGGUUUGUGACGGAGCGGUUUGCCUGUCUCUGAGGUGCUAGUGGGGUGAAGGGAAGGUUCUUAGGUGAUAGAUGGCUGCAUGAAGAGGGUGAUGGUCGAGGUACCUCUACUAGCAAUUGGAGGACAGUUUUUUCUUUGCUGUAUUGCCAUGUAUUUAGUUAUGCUAAUAAGUUCCAUGACUACUUUAGUUUCACGCAUUUAUGUGCCUUUUGUUUUAGUCUCCUUCACAAAGAAUAAUGUUAUAUGGUCUCAAUUCAUAUGCUAUGGGAAUUGGACCCACUAUUAUUUCUUCUUGUGAUAUGAUACGAGCUAAUUUAUCAUCAAAAUGUGCAGGAACACAGGGGAGUUCAUUAUGUCAAGAUACAGGGAGGUUGCUGAAAUUGUUCUAAGAUACCUGGAGCACCGAGAUCGCCUAGUUCGCCUCAGCAUAACUUCUUUACUUCCUCGAAUUACCCAUUUCCUGCGUGAUCGAUUUGUACUAACUAUUUAACGGUUUGUGACAUUUGACUUCAUUUUAGUGAUUUAAUCUGCCUUUACUAACCGGGAUAUCUAAAUGAAUUAAAUUUGCAUCUUCAAUGUUAACUACUGUAACCUCAAGUUUGUUUAUUUUACUUCUACAGAUAUGCAUUAAUCAUAUACCUCAUGUCCUUAAAAUACCUGCAGAAUGUGCCAGUGGGUUCCUUGCUCUUGGGGAGAUGGCAAGUUCUCUAGAUGGUGAACUCAUUAACUAUUUGGCGACAAUAACCUCUCACUUGGGUGAUGUGGUAUGUUAUUUAUGUCAUUGCAGAUGUACUUUUUUUUGUUGGUGAUAAACGUAAUGUUGUAUUCCUCAGUAUUAAGGCUAUGCCGGCAACCUCUAAAAGAUGUGCCCAUAAAUUAAACAAGUAAGAGUAAAAACAGAAGAAGAAAAAACUAAAUACUUACAAAAGCACCAUAAAAUCUACUCAUCAUUCAUCUACUAGUACACCUUUACACUAAAAGUAUGAUGUAUUGAAGCAGAUUUCUUUGAUUGUCUGAACAGGGUUGGUACUAUCCUAAAAAUGUCUAUUGUUUCUUUUCUUCCAAUAGAGUUCUUGAAUCCUAAGGUUCUUUGAUUUCUUCUCUUUCUUUCAAUUAUUUUGUUGAAAAUUGUGGAGUUGGAACAUUUCAGGGAAUCUUGAUGUUGUUCUUUAAUCAUUUGUUGAAUUGGUAAGGAAGUGGAGCCAGACGUGAUUUUCAUAUUGAUAGGAUUGAGGGAAAUUAAGGAUGUAAGACUGUUCAAGAUUUUAGAUAACUCCCAAGUCUUUCUUCUGUUUCAGCCUUUGAAGGUAAGCAAGGUGGAUCAGAGGACGACUAUUUUUAUCUUACACAACUUUAAUUAUUAUUGUGGGUUUCUAUAUGUUUUUUUUUAUCCAGUUUGGUAUCAUGACGCGAUAUUGAAGUGACUGUUCACUGUUUUGUAUACAAGAUUCCUCUUAUAUGCCUCUUGUUAAUUAUUCUUAUUCACUUUCCCCUCCAUCAAUCAAGAGAGAUGGAUAGGUCCUGGUUUUAAAUUUAUAUCAAUCAUGUUGGCGAACUUUUUGGUUUGAAUAAUUAUGUGAAUACCAGGUUUUGUUUGUGUUUGUUUUCAUUCACCUUUCCUGCUUUAUUUUUUAUUAAAGGGUUAGCUGUGGGUUUCUGUCUUAAUCAUAUAACAUUCUGUUUUUGCCGAAUGUUGCUGUUUGAGUUUGAAUGCUAUUGGAUGAUCUCUCUCUGCCUCUUUCCAUUCUUCCUAGUUCCCUCGUCUAAAGUUCUCUUUUAAAUACUUGAGUUGCUUGUGAACCAUGCCAGAAAUCUUAUUUUAAUUUCUUUGGUAGGAGGGGGGCUGCAUUGGUUUUGAGGCAGCUUGUAGAGGAAGAAGCUUGUGAUCUUAGUGGAGAAGGUUUUGCUCAUUUUAUGGAUCAUCUAUAUGAACGCAUUACCACAUUUCUUGAUAGUAAUGAAGUUUCUGAGAAUCUCGGUGCAUUGAGGGAUAUUGACGAGAUAAUAGAUGGCACCAUCAGCGAAAAUGCAUCAAAAGUGACACAAUUCUCCAAUUACAUUCGCGUUGCUUUUGAAACAAAGUGUGAUCCUGAAAUCUUGGUCCUUUGCUAGGUUCUUGGUCAAAAGUUCAGGGAGUUCCUCGUAUUCUCUUUUGAUAUUUGCACUGUGAGAACACAAUCUCAUUUUCUGUUGGGGGUGCCUCCCUUGUAGUCAUUUAGUUGAUUGUUUCUGCAUAUAGUGAUUGUGCCCUUGUCGGACGUACCUUUCUUUCUUUGUUAUGGAUUGGUGUGCCCUUGUCAGGAUUUGAUAUUGUGAAUGUUUAUGUUGAUAUUGUGUUGGAUUGGUCUAUUUUAGUUUUGAUACCUAGUUUGUAGCUUCUUUGUUUUUGUUUUGAUAAAAAGAUUUGGAUUGACGAUGCCCGAUGAUGGAUAGAGCGUGACGACUUUCUUAAGGGUAAAUCGUCGAUUGCUUGUGAGUAUUUGAUUGACGUUGAUUUGAGUAGUUCACGAAUAGAUGCAUGAGGUUGUCUUUUUGUAACUUUUGAUUCGUUAGCAGUUAAAAUGUUCAAUGCUACUUGUAUUUUCAAAAGGAAGUAAGAUUUUGAACCGUCUUGAUUGAUUUGCAGGCCAUGUGUGGUGAGUUAUUGCAUAAUGCCUUGUGUUUGCUUUUGUCACCUAGAACUUGUCCGGUUGGUCUUGAAAUAUUGGUCUUGAAUGAAUUUGGUUGGAGAAAUGAUCUUAGGCUUUCUUUAAUAUCUUGGAGUCCACUUGGCCUAAAAAUCUCACCUUUGUACUAAAUAUAUCCUUAGUUGUCCCCUUUCAGCCUAAUCCUUUUUAUCGGCAACCAUAUUACAAGCCUUAUCCUUUUUGAAAAGGUAACCCUCCUUUGAACCCUUCCCUCCUUGAACUUGAGGUUGUGAAAGUUGAGUCUAAAAGCCUAAGUUGUGGGCGUUAUGGAAAAUUCGUUGAAGGGAUGCUUACCAAAUGAGGGCAUGGUGUAAAAAAAAAAAUAUAAAGAAGAGAGAAAUUGAGGGAUGGAUGGAAAGUUUUAAAGAAAGAAAAAGUUUUGAAAAAGAAAGAAUGAAAAUGAAUAAAUGAGUCUUGAAUCCUCCAAAAUUUGAAAAUGGUUGCAUGUGGAGCAUCUAAAGUGGAAAUAAGAAAAGAAAAAAUGAAAAAUAGUAUGGAAUGUGCAUGGGUUUUAAAAGUGAAGAAAAGUGGAAAAAGUUGGAAAUGAUGAGUCGUUGUGUAGUGUUCAAGGAGGGUGUAGUCACUUAUACUUAAAUGAUAUCCUAACCUUCCCUGAGCCUAUAUUACAAGCUUAACAAAGUCCUUGGAGAUUUCUAACCAAAUGGAGUGGAGUCAAUAUUGAUAGAAAAUAGGUGACAUUUGUGUGCAUGAGAUGAUUUUUAGUGAGUGCGAGUGUUGCAUCUUUGUCCUCGUAUUGUUUGUAUGUGUGGUUUCGGGAUACUUCUUUCUUGUGAGGGCAUGCAAGUUGAAAUAUUAAUGAUUUUUCUUAAUUGAGUCAAGUGAGCUAAUGAGUUGAGUCAUUUCUUGAGUUUGAGUUGUUGUCACUUAAAUGAUUCUUGAUUUUUUAUAAUGUUUCAUGUGAAUGAGAGGAUUUCUUUUGUGGAAAGUUUUCAUGUGGACUAUUUGUUGGUACCAACCGAGGCCAUUACCUUUGUGCUUAAUUGAGAAAUGGAAAUUGAUUUGUGGUGUAUCUUGAAAUAAGAAUCUCUUAUGUUUUUUGAUUUUCUUGACUUGAUGAAAAACAAACUUUCUAAGUUGGGGUGUUGAUUUGUGGUAGAUUUCUACUCAUUUGAGUCUUUUUUUCGUAGUUAUUUUGGCUUUUAGUUUAUAAUUGUUGCUUUUUGAUGUGGUUUUGCACGAAAAUUAAAUGGAGAGUUCGUACAAAAUGUUGAACGUGCAGGGUUAGCACCAUUCGAUUGUUGGCUUUGUUUUAGAGGAACCAAAACAAUGGAAGAAAAUGCUUCUACCGUCUUCAAUGUUUCACGUGCCGGAGUUUGUGGAUGCUAUUUGGGUUGCUCUGUGGGAUCCAAUGUUGGCUGUUCGGGAGAAGGUUGUUUAGACAUUGCGUGCCUGCCUU
rnacentral:lncRNA from 1 species